CAGGAGAAGCAAUCAGUCAGACACGCAAAAAGAAAGAAGAAAGGAGCCACAGACAGAAGAAACAAGAUUGGAGAGAGGCAGAGACUAGAGGGAAGUGGACACAAAGCAGAGCACACAAUCAGGAAAAGAAGAAGCAGAGCACAAAAAUACAUAGACGAGUCACGCACGCGAUCGAAGAGAUCUAGAAGAAAAGUGUGAAGGCAAAAGAAGCAACACACGGAAGAGACACACACGCACACACACGGCGACGUAGCGGAAGAAAAGGGAAAAAGUCAAAAGAAAGAGAUACACGUGAUCAAAAGGAGCAGAAUAGGGAUGGCAGUCUGAGAUGGAAGCGUGUAACGGUAAGUAAUCGUAUGCUCUCUAUUUAAAGCCUGGAAUUCGAAGAAAGGAGGGGGCAAGGAAGAGAAAUCAAAAUCAAAGAGGUGAUUUUUGAAAAGAGAAGGAAGAAAGGGGAACUGGGUCGAAUUUCUAAAAAAAAACAGAGAGGCCAUUAAGAAGAUUUCUAAAAGGGGGGCCUGGAUGAAUUUCUGAAAAGAGGAAAUUAGGCAAGGAGAGACCGAACCACUAUUUUUUCUUUGAAGAAAAGAGACUGAGAAGAAAUGAGGGAGGCUAUGGUUGAAUCUGAAAAUGAUCUGAGUCUUUGAAAGCAGGAGGAGUUUGGAAAUUCUCAUCUGCUGUAAUAGGUUUGAAAUUUAUGCAUAUGAAUUAUUCUGGUUUUGAUCGAGUAGCUCAGGUUUCCUAAUUGAUUAUCUUUUUUUUAACUGUGAUGUGGUGUAGGGAUUUGGAACUGGAAUUAGAAAGAUUCUUGUUUGUGUUCUCCUUAUUCAGUUGAUUGGUUGGAAGAUCUAAGUUUGGCACCAUAUAUGUAUGUGUUGAACUAAGGAAUAUGGGAUUAGCUCAAUAACAUCUUCUCCUUCUUUGUCAAUGGUAAAGGAACUGAUCAAAGAAUGGCUCAGGAUCGGGAGGGUGUUUGGCUAUUGACUGUCUUUUCCUUCACUCAUUGAAACGUCUUCUCUUUCUCCAUCAAUGGCAAAGGAACUAGUCAAAUAUUCAGUGGUGGACAUGUUCACAGAGUCACCUUUCAAGGGAAGCCCCGUAGCAAUGUGUCUACUAGAGGAAGAGAGGGACGACAAUUGGUUGCAAGUGAUAGCCACUGAGUUCAAUAUCUAGGAGACCUGUUACUUGACUCGAAUUGCUGAGUCAGAGGGUCCUGCCCACUUGAUCAAUGCUAGCUCUAACCCUCAUUUCUGUCUUAGAUGGUUCACUCCCAUCUGCAAGACUCAGGAUUUGACUUCUACAGCAAAUUCUUUUGCCCAAAAUUUAGAAUCAAUGAGGAGUGUACAUUGUGCUUUAGCAUCUUAUUGGAGCAAGAAACUUGGGAAGCUCGAUUUUAAUACUAAUUAGGCAUCAUCAAGAGGCGAAGUUCUCAAUAUUUAUCUUGAUGAGCAGAACCAAAGGGUGCUAUUAUGAGGAAAAGCUAUUACGGGAUAGAAGGAUGCAUUAUAGUUUAGUCCUGCUUUGGCAUUGCAAAUAUAAGUAACAUGAAUAAAUGUAGUGGAUAACAUGACCCACUGCAACUGAGUUUAAAUUCUUAAACUAUUAUAAUGAUAUUGAAUGUUGAGAAGUA